rnacentral:rRNA from 1 species
AGUGAACGCUGGCGGUAGGCCUAACACAUGCAAGUCGAACGGCAGCACAGUAAGAGCUUGCUCUUACGGGUGGCGAGUGGCGGACGGGUGAGGAAUACAUCGGAAUCUACUUUUUCGUGGGGGUUCACGUAGGGAAACUUACGCUAAUACCGCAUACGACCUACGGGUGAAAGCAGGGGAUCUUCGGACCUUGCGCGAUUGAAUGAGCCGAUGUCGGAUUAGCUAGUUGGCGGGGUAAAGGCCCACCAAGGCGACGAUCCGUAGCUGGUCUGAGAGGAUGAUCAGCCACACUGGAACUGAGACACGGUCAAGACGCCUAAGGGAGGCAGCAGUGGGGAAUAUUGGACAAUGGGCGCAAGCCUGAUCCAGCCAUACCGCGUGGGUGAAGAAGGCCUUCGGGUUGUAAAGCCCUUUUGUUGGGAAAGAAAAGCAGCAGGUUAAUACCCCGCUGUUCUGACGGUACCCAAAGAAUAAGCACCGGCUAACUUCGUG